rnacentral:lncRNA from 1 species
GGACAGCAUCCAGCAAAGAUGAGGAUGUCUGGGCACGCCAAGUAACGGGGUCCUAGGUGGACCACUCCUGCCGGCCCAAGAGGAGACCAGGGGGAGUGCCAGGGUCAGCAGCAUGGCCCUUGCUGCCCCUCCCCCUGUGCACUGCCAUGCAUUGCAGGGACUUUUGUACCUGGCCAAGGCAUUUCCCCCGACAGGUGACAGGGUUGGUCAGUCCUCACUCUCCCAUACAUCCCUCUGCUUGGGAGCAUCAGUGAAUAGAGAAGGGCUUGAUGGUGCUUAGGGGACUAUUUUUUUACUUUCAAUCCAGAAGAGCUAGUGUGGGCUUCAUGCCAUCAUGUCCUGAGUGUGUGUGACAAAUGAGGGUCUGACUCUCGAAUCUCCUCAGACCAAGACUCUAUCUUCUAUUUGCACACCCAUAGCAGCUGUUUUCUCCAAGCUCAAAUGUGCCCACGGGGGUCUGAUCAGGUGAGGUGAUCAUUGGCAAGUGACCCAGCCGUUGCCAGCUCUCCCACCCCGGCUGCUGCUGCUAGCCACGAGGACUGUGGCGUCCAGGAGCCCAUCCCCCAACCUGGACCUAUCCUAGCCUGUUGUCUGCUUGGGCACCAUUACUAGGUAGGCAGGCAAGGCAGUGACCCACACCAAAGCCAGCCCUACAGCUGAGCAUGCCCCAGCACCCAAGCAGCGGGUAUGAUCCAAUUCCCUAACCGCACCACGUCUGGAGUCUGUCCUGUGAGCUCACUGUGGAAAGGAGGUUACAAGCCCAGGUCACUGUGCCACUCCAUAGUCAGUGGCGACCAGCGUGCACCCCUAAUCCCCUUAGUCACUUAAGAAAACCUUCAAAGGCAAAUAAAUGACCUAAUUGGAAAACACAAAAGCCGGCCUUCCUCCCAAGGAUUCCCUAAGAAUCUGUGGGCGCUCUGACUGAGUAGGUUGGGGUCAGUGCAGACAGCUGCAGACUGUUCUAAAGUUCCGUUCUUAUCUCUGAUGGCACACCUCUCGUGUUCAGUUCUAUUACCCAAAAAACAAAGACCAAAGAAGGCCAAUCUCUCAUUUGACCGUAUUUUUAAUCUGCCUGUUUUGACACAUGCCGUCUGUAGUAACCGCUCGCUGUGAGGCCCCAUCUUGACAGUCCAAGUGAUCGUGACCAGUGAUUAGCGUCCCGUGUUCUAAUGCUCUUCUAAGAAACUGAGACAGUGUGAAUUAUUGCUCAGCAAUAAUCAUGUCACCAGGAGUUAGCAGCACGCCUCAUCUCCUGAUAGCAUUAUGAUGUUUCGUGUUUUGUUUACCGUGUGUUACAUGUAAGGUUUCAUUUGGUAUUUAUUUGUGUUUUGAGGUCUUGCGAUGUUUCUGUUCUGCUGCUAAUAAUAAAGUUUGUAAGACUGUAGAAUGCAGAAUUUUGUAAUGCUCAAGUGUCUAUUAGAGGAAAAUAAAGCUGAUUCAAGAGUCCGGC